rnacentral:rRNA from 1 species
CGUGUAGGCGGCCUUUUAAGUCAGGCGUGAAAUCCAUGGGCUUAACCCAUGAAUUGCGUUUGAAACUGGAGGGCUUGAGGAUCGGAGAGGGCAGUGGAAUUCCCAGUGUAGCGGUGAAAUGCGUAGAUAUUGGGAGGAACACCAGUGGCGAAGGCGACUGCCUGGACGACACCUGACGCUGAGGCGCGAAAGCUAGGGGAGCAAACGGGAUUAGAUACCCCGGUAGUCCUAGCCGUAAACGAUGGGUACUAGGUGUGGGAGGUAUCGACCCCUUCCGUGCCGCAGUUAACACAAUAAGUACCCGCCUGGGGAGUACGGCCGCAAGGUUGAA